rnacentral:rRNA from 1 species
AUUGAACGCUGGCGGCAGGCCUAACACAUGCAAGUCGAACGAGCGGCGGAAGGGUGAGUAAUGUCUGGGAAACUGCCUGAUGGAGGGGGAUAACUACUGGAAACGGUAGCUAAUACCGCAUACCAUCAGAUGUGCCCAGAUGGGAUUAGCUAGUAGGUGGGGUAAUUGCUCACCUAGGCGACGAUCCCUAGCUGGUCUGAGAGGAUGACCAGCCACCCGGGAACUGAUACACGUUCCAGACUCCUACGGGAGGCAGCAGUGGGGAAUAUUGCACAAUGGGCGCAAGCCUGAGGCAGCCAUGCCGCGUGUAUGAAGAAGGCCUUCGGGUUGUAAAGUACUUUCAGCGGGGAGGCGUUACCAACAGAAUAAGCACCGGCUAACUUCGUGCCAGCAGCCGCGGUAAUUC